rnacentral:lncRNA from 1 species
UGAUUUUAGCUCAAUCAGAGCAGAUGGCGGUUCGACAUCGAGAUGUCAUUUUCACUCACAUGGGGGAGCUGGGUUUGAGACUGAACGGCAAGAAGAGUGUACUUUCUCCACUUCAGAGAACCACCCAUCUAGGCGUAGUGUGGGAUUUGACCACAAUGCAGGCACGUCUGUCUCCUGCUCGUAUCGAGUCGAUCCUCAUGUCAGUCAAGAGAGUCAAAGAAGGCCAGUCACUUACUGUCAAACAGUUUCAGAGAUUGUUAGGUCUGAUGGCAGCUGCGUCCAGUGUGAUACCUUUUGGCCUGCUGUACAUGAGACCCCUACAGAGGUGGCUCAAGACCAAGGGAUUUUCCCCGAGGGGGAAUCCACUUCGUACGAUCAAGGUCACGCGGCGAUGCCUUCGUGCCUUAGACAUGUGGAAGAAACCUUGGUUCUUGAAUCAGGGCCCGGUGCUGGGAGCUCUUUGUCACCGUGUAAUGCUCCUUGAAUCCUGCCCGCGGUCUGUGGAAUGGUCGCCAUCUGACAUGGCAUAUCAGUUGUCUAGAGAUGCUAGCUGUGUAUCGAGCAUUGAAAUAUUUCCUCCCAGACCUGAGAGGUCAUCAUGUGUUGGACAAACUCCUCUCGCUCAGAGCAGUGUAUAUUCCUGGGAGAUUGAAUGUGGGAGCAGAUAUACUGUCGAGACAGGGGCCGAGGCCUGGGGAAUGGAGGCUUCACCCCGAUGUGGUGAAGCAGAUAUGGAGACUGUUUGGCUCUUGUUUGACUGUUUGACUCUUUGCGACUCAAGAGACAUCGCAAUGCCCCCUCUGGUUCUCUCUAGUUCAUCCAGCUCCUCUGGGACUGGACGCUAUGGUACAGACCUGGCUGAGGCUUCGUCUGUACGCCUUUCCCCCUAUUGCUCUGCUCCAGCCACAUCAUCAAGAUUACUGAUGACACAACUAUGGUAGGUUUCAUCAGCAACAAUAAUGAAACACCCUACAGAAAGGAAGUGGCACAGCUGGUUGAAUGGUGUAGUGCAAACAACCU